rnacentral:rRNA from 1 species
UGAGUGGCGGACGGGUGAGUAACGCGUGGGUAACCUGCCUUGUACAGGGGGAUAACAGUUGGAAACGACUGCUAAUACCGCAUAAGCGCACAGUACCGCAUGGUACGGUGUGAAAAACUCCGGUGGUACAAGAUGGACCCGCGUCUGAUUAGCUAGUUGGUGAGGUAACGGCCCACCAAGGCGACGAUCAGUAGCCGACUUGAGAGAGUGAUCGGCCACAUUGGGACUGAGACACGGCCCAAACUCC